CAUUGUUGCCUGGAUACCUACAUGGGGAAGCAGAUAUGGGUACCCAGUUCCUAUCCUGCAUGCCCCUUAGAGCGGAACAAUAACAACACUAAACUAGAAACACAAACUAAAAUUAUCCUUCCAGAGCAAGGUAUGCAGAAAAGAUGUGAGGCUGCUGUACACAGGGACAAGUGUCCAGAUGGAAUCUCAUGUGAUGAUCUGGUGCCUGGCAGAGGAUCAAUGGCCAAGGCUCUAAUGGGGCACAUCAAAGUUUCUCUGCAGUUCAGAAAGACAACCAGGGCCUGACUCUGUGGUUGCUGUACCGGUGUGGAGCAUCUGCCAAGAAUGGACACCAGCAUCUGUAGACAAAGGAGAGGCUGCCACACUUUUGUACUGCAUGCUGAACCAUUAAAACAAUAGCCAAUCCACUACUGAGGAGUGUGCACAGUGACACAGGAUUCUCCACAGACUCCAUUCACAAGAACAGGGCCUGUUUUGUAGCCACCCAAAGCAUGUGAUGAACAGGCAAAAGGACCUAAGCAGAAGCCUUCAAUCCCUGCACCCCAAGACCAAAUAAUACUCAUUCUCAUAGGCCACAUAAGCUGGUCCUUGUUCCUCUUCCUUCCCCCAUUUGUUCUAUCUCUUAUCAAGAAGAAAACAUUUUCUUCUGAUGCUCAGAAUUGAAUCUUGUUCCACAAUUCAAGAAACACGUGUGAAAAGAAGAUCUGGACCUCUCUGUCCUCACUUGUCUGUAUGGACUUUUGGGUUGAACAAUCUCUUGAAGAUCCUGUGCCAGCCUCAGGAUCGCCUGAGAGGCUGUGUUGUCUAUAUCUACUGCAGAAACACUUGAGCUAAUAGACUGUCCAGUGACAAAGCCAUUCUGCCCUUGACAAUGACGUGAUGAUUCUCCUGUCUCCAUAUGAACACACCCAGCCUGCCCCAACACUGUGCAGUUGUCACUAAGGGCACAUUAAGGAGAAGAGGACCAUGAGAGUAGGAUGCUGGGUGCAAAAAAUAAUAAUAAUAAUUGAGUCAUCUUCUAAUGCUGACAAAGAAGCUGAGGCCCCAAAGGACGUAGAUUUCAAGUGUGAGAGCUGAGUGUUACUUCUGGAUCAGUGUCAACGCCAGCACACAGGAAUCCACUGGCUUCGUAUGGUGGAUGCUUCUGACCAGAUUGGGAGAGUGGCCUGACUUCAUUCUUAUCUACAAGGAGGAAGGGUGAAAAUUGGCUCCGAGAUGUGACACCAGCUAGACUGUCUAUGUGAAGUGGUGUGAUCUGCCCUUUUGUCAGUUGCCAUUCUGUAGGCAUAGUGAUGGGCAAGGCUCUAGCUAGGUGCUAGAUCCCAGGAUCAUUAGUGUCAUGGACAAGCUGUGCCCAAGGACCUGACACUCUGGCAGAGUCCAGGACAUUCAGGAAGACAAAGAUGGUGAGAUCACAGGCCCUGGGAGUGUUACGUGUUUGACGACAUGCCAAAAGCCUAAACUGUACACUCCCCCUGUGCUGGUGAUGGGAAAGUAAGAAGACGAGGAGGCCAACCUGAUAGAUGGACAAUGUAGGAAUCCCAGAAGCAAGAGGCCAUGUUCCUGCAUGGGGAUCCACCAUUCUUUGCAUAUGCAUGUUGAGUUUCUAAGAAGAUGUUUCCAGCUAUGAUUUUGACCUUCAAAAAACAGUCGAAGGUCAUGAGGCUUUCCUGACACAAAAAGCACAGGCUGGAACCAAAAUCCUGAUGCUAUGCACCAAAUUCCUUUCCUGUUUGGGGCUACUGAGGACAAUCUGAACUAAAAGUCUGGACCUGCUUUCUCAGUGAAGGCACAACCUCUUGAACUCUCUGACUUUUGAAAUGUAGUUGUACCUACUGCUGCUUAUGAUCCAAAAAUCUAAUUCAAUAUGUGAACAUAUAAGCUUCCAACCUCCAAUCUGGAUCAUUCUGUCCCAGACAGGACAAUGUGUAUACUUGAAAAGAAAGACCAGAUCCUGGUGCUUUCCCACAAGAAGUUGUUGAAUGUGGCUACCUGGAAGGACAACCAAAAGCCUCUCUCGGCCACAGAGGAGGGCACUAUCAAUAAGUCAAUCAACCUUAUAUGCAUCAUCACAAGCAUCUGAAAUAUGGAGGCCUGGUAAACACGGUAUGGGCCUCC